rnacentral:rRNA from 1 species
UACGUAGGCAGCAAGCGUUGUUCGGAAUUACUGGGCGUAAAGCGUGCGUAGGUGGUUUGUUAAGUCUGUUGUGAAAGCCCCGGGCUCAACCUGGGAAUGGCAAUGGAUACUGGCAAGCUAGAGUGCGGUAGAGGGUAGUGGAAUUCCCGGUGUAGCGGUGAAAUGCGUAGAGAUCGGGAGGAACACCAGUGGCGAAGGCGGCUACCUGGACCAGCACUGACACUGAGGCACGAAAGCGUGGGGAGCAAACAGG